UUGAGCAUUUUGAUUUCUUUGACAAUGAAGGAACAAUAGAGAGAAAUACAACAAUGAGGAAGUCUCACACAUCCACCAUAGAUCUACUCACCUGGUCUGAAAUUCCUCCCUCCUAUUCCCCCUCAAUCACCUCUGCUGCUCAUUCUCACCAGGGAAAAUGUUAGCCAUCGGAUGGGAUCAGUAAGGUGGUGUUUGGAGGUCAGGUUACAGAUGAAGAAGUUGAGAAUUUGAACAAAAGGCCUUGCAUUUGACAGAUUGGGAAGAUGUUUGGGACGUAGUGGUGGGUUUGAAGCAAUGUGGUAAGAGUUGCAAGCUUAGAUGGGCACCCUCGUCCCUGUGAUUGGGGGAAGUGGGUUUGUUGCAACUGCAACUGCUAUAGGAAUUGUUGCCGGUAGUUUUAAAUAAUCUGUUAAUAGUUUUGGAUAUGUUUAGAAACUUAGAUAUGCAUAGUUUUGGAUGGUUUAAACUUUUGGGACAAUGUAGAACUUAAUGAUAUAGUUUUCGAAUGUUUGGAAUGUAUAGAUAAUUAUUGAAUAUUUAUAAUUUAUGGAUAUAGUU